UACGAAAGGUGCGAGCGUUAAUCGGAAUUACUGGGCGUAAAGCGUGCGUAGGCGGCUAUUUAAGUCGGAUGUGAAAGCCCCGGGCUCAACCUGGGAGGUGCAUCCGAUACUGGGUAGCUAGAGUGUAGUAGAGGGAGGUGGAAUUUCCGGUGUAGCGGUGAAAUGCGUAGAGAUCUGAAGGAACAUCAGUGGCGAAGGCGACUCACUGGGCCAUUACUGACACUGAGGUGCGAAAGCGUGGGUAGCAAACAGG
rnacentral:rRNA from 1 species